GACGAACGCUGGCGGCGUGCUUAACACAUGCAAGUCGAGCGGAAAGGCCCUUCGGGGUACUCGAGCGGCGAACGGGUGAGUAACACGUGAGUAACCUGCCCCAGACUUUGGGAUAACCCUCGGAAACGGGGGCUAAUACCGGAUACGACACAGCUUCGCAUGGGGUCUGUGUGGAAAGUUUUUCGGUUUGGGAUGGGCUCGCGGCCUAUCAGCUUGUUGGUGGGGUGAUGGCCUACCAAGGCGACGACGGGUAUCCGGCCUGAGAGGGCGACCGGCCACACUGGGACUGAGACACGGCCCAGACUCCUACGGGAGGCAGCAGUGGGGAAUAUUGCACAAUGGGCGGAAGCCUGAUGCAGCGACGCCGCGUGAGGGAUGACGGCCUUCGGGUUGUAAACCUCUUUCAGCAGGGACGAAGCGUAAGUGACGGUACCUGCAGAAGAAGCGCCGGCCAACUACGUG
rnacentral:rRNA from 1 species